AGACAGCUGCCAACACACUGAGCAGCCUGUGAUGCUUGCCUCAGUCCCAAAGUGCCGCCCUCUGGUGGCACAUGAUGAUGUCACUAAAGGAGCUCCACGAUGCUUGUGAGAUGGAGAAGACUUCCUGUCCCAGCUUUGACCAAUGCUGGGACAUAUUUUUCCACUAACUACGAGAUAGACACAUCCUUUCACUGACUCAUGUCCACAACACCUCCCUGCAAUGAGACACCCAGUCAUAUAAGGAUAUUUUGAGGCUGUCUAGAAACUGACCAAAGGAGAAGAUUGCCACAUUGCUUGAUCUGAGCUGCCCCAGAAAAAAACAGGACAUGAACCUCGAGAGCCUGAGCUAACAUCUAGAAAUCCAGCUCCCUGGAAGCUGCCUGCUAAAGAGAUUAUGUGAAGUGACUACAAAGAGACACAGGGAGUUGCCUGAGGAGCUGCCGCUAUUCCAGCUCCAGCCAUUGGAGUCUUCCAGCCCAAGCACCAGACAACUGAGUGAAGAAGUCUUUGAGAUGACUCCACGCAGCCAUCAUCUGACUGAGACCUCGAGCUGGAGCCACCCAGUUGAGCCACAGCAAAUUCCCAGCUCAUACACAUUGAAUAGUUUUUAAGAAUACUCCUGCUGCCCACUGUGCUGAUUCAACUGAUGCCAUGGAAUAAGAAUUCAAAACUAGAAGUUGUCAAGCAGUAAAAGCACACCCAGUAAGUCCAGCACUCACCAUUGGAAGUACUUGGAUAGUGGAAGAAGACAGGAUUUAACAGGUCAAGAAGAUUACUCUCGAUAAUGUGAGUGGACCUCAUCCCAUCAGUUGAAUGUCUUAAGGUAAAACCUGAGGUUUCCUGGAAAGGAAGGAAUUCUGCCUCAAGACUAUAGCACCGUAGCAUAGAAAUCAUGCCGGAGUCUCCCUCCUGUUGGCCUGCCCUGUGGAUUUGGGGG